GUGUGUGGACGGAAUUCGGGACCGACUUACGGCCGGCCGGCUUCCCGGAACUGGAAGCUCCUGGUACAGUUUGUUCAGAAUACGUCCAUCCCAUUGGGACAGGGGCUUGUAGAAUCAGAAGCUAAAGAUAUUACUUGCUUGUCCCUCCUUCCCGUGACUGAAGCCUCAGAAUGCAGUCGGCUAAUGUUACCAGGAGGUCCCUUCCUCAGCUGUUUUGAGAAGCCUUCGGGUGAAUGUGGGUCCAGACGGAGAGGAGACGAGAGCUCAGACUGUACAGAAAUCCCCGGAGUUUUUGUCCACUUCAGAGUCUUCUAGCUUGUUGCAAGAUCUACAGCCAAGUGAUAGCACUUCUUUUAUUCUUCUUAACCUAACAAGAGCAGGUCUGGGCUCUUCAGCUGAGCACUUAGUGUUUGUACAGGAUGAGGCAGAAGAUUCAGGGAAUGAUUUCCUCUCCAGUGAGAGCACAGACAGUAGCAUUCCAUGGUUCCUCCGGGUUCAGGAGUUGGCCCAUGACAGUUUGAUUGCGGCUACUCGUGCACAACUGGCAAAGAAUGCAAAAACCAGCAGCAAUGGAGAAAAUGUCCACCUUGGUUCUGGUGAUGGGCAGUCAAAAGAUUCUGGGCCCCUUCCUCAAGUGGAAAAGAAGCUCAAGUGUACAGUUGAAGGUUGUGACCGGACAUUUGUAUGGCCAGCUCACUUUAAAUACCACCUCAAGACUCAUCGAAAUGACCGCUCCUUCAUCUGUCCUGCAGAAGGUUGUGGGAAAAGCUUCUAUGUGCUGCAGAGGCUGAAGGUGCACAUGAGGACCCACAAUGGAGAGAAGCCCUUUAUGUGCCAUGAGUCUGGCUGUGGUAAGCAGUUUACUACA
rnacentral:sRNA from 1 species